GACGAACGCUGGCGGCGUGCCUAAUACAUGCAAGUCGAACGCUCGGGGAGGAGCUUGCUCUUCUGGAUGAGUUGCGAACGGGUGAGUAACGCGUAGGUAACCUGCCUCGUAGCGGGGGAGAACUAUUGGGAACGAUAGCUAAUACCGCAUAAGAGUAGAUGUUGCAUGACAUUUACUUGAAAGAUGCAGUUGUAUCACUACCAGAUGGACCUGCCGUGUCUUAACUGGUUGGUGGGGUAACGGCUUAACAAGGAGACGAUACAUAGCCGACCUGGGAGGGGGAUCGGCCAAACUGGGACUGGGACACGGCCCAGACUCCUUAGGGAGGCAGCAGGAGGGAAUCUUCGGCAAUUGACGGAAGUCUUAACGAGGAACGCCGCGGUAGUGAAGAAGGGUGUCGGGUCGGUAAGCUCUGUUUUAAGGGAAGAACGAGAGUUAGAGUUGAAAGUGCACACUGUGACGGUAUCUUACCAGAAAGCGACGGCUAACUACGUG
rnacentral:rRNA from 1 species